rnacentral:tRNA from 1 species
GCGUGGGUAGCUCAGUCGGUAGAGCAAGAGACUCUUAAUCUCAGGGUCAUGGGUUCAGGUCCCAUGUUGGGCG